rnacentral:tRNA from 1 species
UCCCUGGUGGUUCAAUGGUUGAGAGUCUGUCUUGCAAAGCAGGAGACGUGGGUUUGACCCCUGGCCAGGGAA